UGCAAUUCAGCUUCCUGCGGUGUUGGUGU
rnacentral:piRNA from 1 species